UUUGAUUUGGUUUCUGUCUUCUCCGACAAAUUUAGCAUGGCUUUGGUUUAUGUAGUAUACGGGAAUGUGUGUAAACUUAUAGUUUGUUUCUCUCCUUAUUCCUAAUUAUUCCUAAUCAUUAUGCAUGUAAGUGAACCAGAGAAGCGGGGCUACUUUAGCCAAUUCCACCUCCCGAGUUCUAGAAUCACCCUCAGUCUCUCAGAAUAUCUCCCUCCCUCGACUCGACUCAUUCCCUGUCCCUUCCCUCGACUCCAACUCUCAGACUCUCACUUACAUUGCUUAACGUCGUCGGGACCAACACAACAGCACCACUUCCGCCGUCACAACCACCAUCACCCCAUCACCCCAUCACCACUAUCGAGCUUCAACUCUCACACUCUCACAGCGUCGUCGCUACCAACACAAUGGUACCACAUCCGCCGUCGCGACCACCAUCACCCCAUCACCACCGUCGACGAACACUGCUACCACCAGUGGUCCAGUACCACUACCAACCAUCAUCCCUUUAAAAUUUAGAUCUAAGUCUAAGCAAAACGUUUUUCUGGAACAGCCAUGUCUCUGAUUGUUGUAAGGGGAUGUUCUUCAUUGCAAGAAUAAAGGAAUCUUCUUCAUUACAAUUGAUGUCAACAAGCCACUUUCAGAUCAAGGACCAUUUGAUGUUGUUUUGC